AUACUUACCUGGCAGGGAAGAUCCCAUUAUCAUGAAGGCGGUUUUCCAGGGCAAGGCUUAUCUGUUGCACACUGAUGUGCUGACCCUUAUGAUUUCCCCUAAUGAGUGAGACACAACGGCAUAAUUUGUGGUAGUGGGGGACUGCGUUUGUGCUCUCCUCUG
ensembl:snRNA U1 U1 spliceosomal RNA